GAUUCUGGCUCAGGAUGAACGCUGGCGGCGUGCUUAAUACAUGCAAGUCGAACGGAGUAUGUAGCAAUACGUACUUAGUGGCGAACGGGUGAGUAACGCGUUGGUGACCUGCCUCGAAGAGAGGGAUAACAAUUCGAAAGGAUUGCUAAUACCUCAUGUGAUCAUAGGGUUUAGAAGCUUAUGAUUAAAGGAGUAAUUCACUUCGAGAGGGACCUGCGUACCAUCAGCUAGUUGGUGAGGUAACGGCCCACCAAGGCGAUGACGGUUAGGGGACCUGAGAGGGUCGGCCCCCCACAAUGGAACUGAAACACGGUCCAUACACCUACGGGUGGCAGCAGUAGGGAAUAUUAGUUAAUGUGCGAAAGCCGCGAACUAGCAACGCCGCGUGUGCGAUGAAGGCCUUCGGGUUGUAAAGCUACUUUCCAAGGGACGAGGAAGGACGGUACCUUGGGAAUAAGCAUCGGCUAACUACGUGCCAGCCGCCGC
rnacentral:rRNA from 1 species